UUUUUUCUUUUUUCCUUUGAGGAUUACAAACCUAUUCCUACAGUGAAAUGAAGUGAAACAAAUAUACUCCCUUUAAAAAUAGAGAUGAAAUGAAAGGGGAAAGAAUGCUCUUCUUUUCUCCAAAUUUCCAGCUAAUGUUCAUUUCCUGUGUUAAGUUAUUUAUAGCUCAAUAUCAAUAAGAAGAGAUAGAUUAUCUAAAUUCUUGGGAGAACAUCCCAGCUUUCCCUUGGAAAUUGAACUCCUCACUUUUCUUCCUGAGCUUGUACACAUCAAUGAUAUGUAUUUUAAGAUGUUAUAGAUAUCUUCUAGAUAACCAAGUAUGUUGAAAUUGCCCAUCUCUCAAUUGAGCAAGUGCAUUAAUUCUAUAAGUAUUUUAUUACAUUGGCAACAGAUCUGAACAGCUUAUAUGAAGAAAGUUAAUUCACUUUAAUGUAAAAAAUAUGUAUAUAUAUUGCAUUGUGAUGCUUGUUUUCAGUUUAUAUCCAUGCCAAAAAUUCAGAAAUUAAAGAGAAGAUAUUUGGAAGGUCUCUACACAGUGUCUUUGUGUCCAGAAAUUGAGCUUAACUUUUGAAACUUAAAAAGUUAAAUAUUUUAUAUAGAUGUUAUAACCCAAGAUAGGGCCACUGACCACAGUAUAUUUAAUAUUGUUUAUUCUGAUAAAAUUUUACAUCUUAUUCAAGAAGCCAAAUGUUAUUUAACACAAAAGUAUGUAUUUGUAACACACCAUAAUUGGAGAAAAAAAGAGAGAGAUGUACAUAUAAUUGUUAUUUAUAGGCAAAAAUGAAUGUAUAUUGUUAAUUCUAUCUGUAAUCCAGAGAAUAUUCUGAAAAAGCUACUUAAUUAAUACUGGUAAGACUUGGAGGAUUGUUGGUGAAUAUCUGACAAGGGACAAAAUUAUGACCUAGCAUUCAUAUAUUUAGAUUUGGGAAAUUGAUCAACCAUACCCUACGAAUCACAAUCAGCUACUGAUUUUCCAGACAGGAAAGUGAUUCAUCAAGCAAGUCUCUUGAGAAUUUAACCCUCAAAAUGGAAUUUUACAAAAGUUAAUCUCCAGUGGGCUAUCAUACAGAUUAUUUUCCUUCCUGAUAGUAGCUUGCAGUUAGAGAUGUACUCUUUUGUCAACAUUUAAAUAUGGAACUCAGAUAAUUUAGCAAUGAUAUAUUAUCUAAUCCAUAAGGUACCUCCCUAAGCCCAACCCCCUCCUCUACACAUGUUCCCAGGUGAUCGCUGCUCUAGGUCUUUGUUAAGCUAAGCAGUAUGAGUCUUGGCAUAAAAGCAUAAAGGCAAAGGCUCAAGUCUAAGCAAAGGCUGGAAGGUCACGUACUAGGUAUGCAUAUUAGGCCAUGAUUUUGACUUCUAUAUUUCCUUAUAAAAUAUAAUUUUGUUUAAUAAUUUCAUUAUAUAAAUACUUCAGAAAACUGUUCAUUAGAGGCUGAUGCCCCAUUAUGAAUUUGUGCAAUUCAUCCCAUCUGUCUAGAUUAGUACUGUGGCUAAAAUAAUCAUGGAUUCUGCGGCACAUCAUCAGGAUGCAAUCCCUAGCCUGACACCUUCCCAUUGUAUGAUCUUGGCCGGUUAUUUUAUAUGUCCCUCCCUUCUCUCCUCUUUAAAAUAGGAACAAUGAUAUCAACCUCAGAAGGUUAUUAGAAAGAGUAGAUAAAUUAAGUACCCAGUUCAUUACAUUUUUCUAAAUAGUGGCUUAUAAUAUUUCAGUGUAUUUCUUUAUUCAUUAAUCCAUCCAUUUUAUUAGCAGUAAAAUUUCAGGUGAAAAUCCAAUAGGCAAAUCCUCUACUUUUGAAGAGGCUAGAAUAUGCUAUGUUUUGAAAACUCCCUCAUGUAUUGUUAUGGAAUUCCCUGGCUCUCCACAGCAGAGGUGGAAAAUAAAUUAUUUAGAAAGAUAACUGAAAUGUCAAAUAUAUUUCCUUAACUAUAAUCUCAUAAGUGGCUAAUGAAAUCUAAUCUUCUACUAACAAGGAGACUAUACAGACAGCAUUUCUUUUUAAAUUGAAGUGUAGGUGACACACAAUGUUGCACAAAUUUCAAGGGUAUAGCAUACUGAUUCAACAAGUCUCCAUAUUACAAUCUAUAGAUGGCAUUUUUAAUGGAAGAAAAAAUUCUUCCAAAUAUUCAAGAAAGGAUAUUACACAGCAGACAUAAAUUUACAAUAGAAUAACAAUAUUGAGAGUCAAUAAUCACAUGACUUCCAUUUAAAGUUCAAUCUUGAGAAGUAAUUUUUUAAAAAGCAACCAAAAUUAAUUAAUGAGGAUGAUGUCUAAAAAGCACGCAAAAUCAUUACCAUAAUAAUUACAAAAAUUACUAGCACCAUUAAACAAAUCUAUAACACAAGUACUUAGUACCUAUAAUUAGUGAUGCUUAUUUCUAAAAUUUGAAAAAAAGCAAAACUUCUUUAAAGUCAUUUAGAAAACCCAGUAUGGGGUGCCUAAGUGGCUCAGUGAAUUAAACACUCAGCUCUUGAUUUUGGCUCAGGUCAUGAUUUCAGGUACAUGGGAUGAAGCUUCUCAUGGGGCUCUGCACUCAGCAUGGAGUCUGCUUCUCCCUCUCCCUUUGGUCUCCUCCACUGCCUCAGCUCAUACUCUCUAUACCUAAAAUAAAUUUUAAAAUCUUAAAAAAAAAAAAAGAAGAAAAA
rnacentral:lncRNA from 1 species